rnacentral:rRNA from 1 species
CCUACGGGUGGCAGCAGUGGGGAAUAUUGCACAAUGGGGGAAACCCUGAUGCAGCGACGCCGCGUGAGUGAAGAAGUAACUCGUUAUGUAAAGCUCUAUCAGCAGGGAAGAAAAUGACGGUACCUGAGUACGAAGCCCCGGCUAACUACGUGCCAGCAGCCGCGGUAAUACGUAGGGGGCAAGCGUUAUCCGGAUUUACUGGGUGUAAAGGGAGCGUAGACGGCAGUGCAAGUCUGGAGUGAAAGGCGGGGGCUCAACCCCCGGACUGCUCUGGAAAUUGGAAGGCUGGAGUGCAGGAGAGGUAAGUGGAAUGCCUGGUGUAGCGGUGAAAUGCGUAGAUAUUAGGAAGAACACCAGUGGCGAAGGCAGCUUGCUGGACUGUAACUGACGUUGAGGCUCGAAAGCGUGGGGAGCGAACAGGAUUAGAUACCCGAGUAGUC